UACGGAGGGGGCUAGCGUUGUUCGGAAUUACUGGGCGUAAAGCGGGUGUAGGCGGAUUGCUAAGUCGGGGGCGAAAGCCCAGGGCUCAACCCUGUAAUUGCCUUCGAUACUGGCAGUCUCGAGUGCAGGAGAGGUGAGCGGCAUUCCGAGUGUAGAGGUGAAAUUCGUAGAUAUUCGGAGCAACACCAGAGGCGAAGGCGGCUCACUGGACUGUUACUGACGCUGAGACCCGAAAGCGUGGGGAGCAAACAGG
rnacentral:rRNA from 1 species